GGUUGGGUAGGAUGGGUAUGGGGGGAGAAUAUAAGGAGGUGAAGGAAACAGGCAUUGCAUUAAGCAAUAUUUCAUUGUCUCUAUUAUAUAUAUAUAUUUUUUUCUUCUUUUUCAAUGAUAAUGAUGUAUAAUUAUUGUAGUGUUUCCCCCUUUUUUUCUGUUUCUUUUUCCUUCUUGUAAAGGUGGUGUUGUCACCUCCUACAUCUCCAUAAUCAUAGUUAUAACAUAAAUAAAGAAUUGAUCACAAAAAAAACUUAGCAAUUAUGCUAAUUCUAAAUCAUAACUUUAUUUUGAGUGGACAAGCAGUUGUAUAAAACUUCGUAACUGCAUUGCUUUAACAUCUGUAACAAGCAAGAGGAGUAUAGUAUAGAGGAGUUUCUCAUCCCGCCCUUAGAGAACAAGAUUAUUUGAAAUAAAUAAAACAUAAAUUCAAAAGAAAAUAUAUAUAUAAAAAAUGUUAAUAACAAUGUAUUUUACCUUUCAAAUCUGAGAGCAAUUCUGGCCCGAGUACGACCCCGUCACCCAAACCGUGGCAUUGGUUUUAACCCGACUGGACCCGAAUGUAAACUGACGUGUGUGCAGUCUGCAGCCCCGAUGCUCCAUUUGUUUAUAUGACGAUAACACCAAGGUAACCGCUAAAAUUUACAUUUUAAAAAUAUCUGACAUGUCUGUCUGAACGAAAAUUAACCUAUCGCCAGCCACACAAUGUCGCAAGCGCUCUUGCAAACAGAGGAGAGGUUUGAAAAGGACUUUGACACACACAUGCGAGAGUUCAGGGCUUCUCGGGUCCAUUCGGCAAAAACACAUUCAUUUUAAAUAACCCGAGACCUGAUUAUUGUACCCGACCCGUGUCCGAGGCAUGCCUGAAACUUUUAGACCCGCACCUGAUCAAGUCUCGGGUCGGACCUUGGGUUUUCGGACUCCGUGAAGACCUCUUCUUCACAUAAGCCCAAACACGGGACUAUGCUUACUGUGAGGAUCCGCAGGCCUAGCGCCCCCUCCUGGUUGAGAGUAUUUACGUCCUAAUUCAAAAAUCAUCAUUUUAAAAGUAUUUGAUUAAGUAUAAUAUGGUCCAGCGGGCCGUAUUAGAAUGUACCCCGGGCCGUGUGCGGCCCUCGGGCCGCCAGUUGCUCAUCCCUGAUGUAGUGGGUGAAAGGGAUUGUUCAGAAUUGAAUUAAGUUUUGACAGUAUUCCUCUCUCAGCCAGAACAUGAACAGAGUCCAGCUCCAUACCAAGUACAAAGCCAGCCCUUCUAAUCAAUUUGUCCAGUGUAUUUCUGUCUGCCACCUUCAUACUAAUUCCCCAACAGACCACUGCAUAAAAAAUGAUGCUAAACACCACAGACUCAUAAAACUUCCACAGCAUGGUAUAGCAGACUAUACCAUUUAGAUUAAUCAGCUAGUUCCUCUUUCAAUCCUACUAGAUAUUCAUGUGUUUUAGUCACUUAAGUAUGCAUACUGUUAUUUUAGUUAUUAUGAAGACUGCUGUCAGGGGUUUGAUGAAUACAUUUAUUAAUGCAAUUGUUGAUAUAAGAAAUGGCUGAUGAAGUUGAAAGGCGGUUUCAAUUAAGAAUAUAUGUAGACUAGCAUUAAGGCAUGAGAAAUAUCUGACUGAGAGUUAUAGAUUCUCAGGUGAUAUAAUAAAUGUCAGUCUAGCACUGAAAUCCCUUCUACAAGAUUGCAAGACUGCAGGGCAGUAACCGUGAAACAGGCAUUCGUCUGUUACAGCUUUCCCUAUUGUCAUUGAAUGCUGUGGAUUGCACCCACCCCUGUGCCAGAUAUGCAACUUUUUUAAUGUUAAAAUUAGUACAGACGAUACAAUAUGUCAGCAGACACUACCUUAUGUGUAGAUUUAUUUCUGCAGUCAAGUCUCCAGCAUGCAACAUUUUCUUAAUCUUGAUUUUCUGAAAGUGAUGGAUGGUCCAAAUUAUUAUGCACAUGCUAUUUUUGUUUGUUUUUAAAAUGAAGUCAAUAAGUUUAUAUUUAUAUAUUAAAUUGUAUUUUAAUCUCAAUAGUUAUAUGACAGUGUGCAUGUUAUUCUAUUUUUAAUACAUAAUUUGAAAUAAUUAAAAUGUCAAAAGAUACUUUAAUACUUAAAAAAAUAUCCAAAUUAUGCUUUUCUAAAUUAUUAUGCAAAAUGCACUUUAUCAAAAUUAAGGGUGGGUUGCACCAACAAGGAUUAAAUUAAGCAGAGUUUAGAGCUAAUCUAGGGUUUGUUGAUCUCAGUUUAAUUUUAAUUCAAGUUGUGUUGCACCCAGAGCCGGAUUAAAUAAAUGGACUACACUAGGCAGGCUGCAUUUUUUGCCCCCCCCCCCCAUCGAGGUUAUUUAUGAAUUGAAAUCUGAAACUUACCAAAGUUACUAAUAAAAGUGAAUUCACAUUUUACAUAGCCUAGUCUUUGCUUACAAAUUGGUUGUUUGUAUACCAAAUUAAGUCAUGUGUUGUAUAUUAACCAGUCUAUCAGACAAUUUUUUGCUAAAUUUAUUAUUUAUACGUCAUUACACGGCUCUAUUAAAUGCUAUUAAAUUAUCCUCACCUUAUCCAUUGGGAGUGUCAUUGUUAAGGCAGUAGUACAAGUAAAUAACCAAUAGGUGUCAGUAAUCCGCGGGAGAGCUUCGCUGCAUAUUUCUCUUCAAGAUUGAGAAUCGCAACGAAAUCCUCAUCGAGCAACACGUCCACUCCACUGAGGUAAAUGUCCUCAAAACACUGGUUAUUUAUGUUUCAGUUAUAUGAAUUAUAUAAUAACAGUUUUUAUAUUAUGUAUAACAGUUUUAUCUCGAAGUAAUGGUAGUGCUAAACUCUAAUGUAUCGUUUCUGAGGCUGUUAGAUUUUUCUUUACGCUAUUCACGUUUGUGAAGUGAAUUUAAAGCACAUAUUGCUUGCAUUUGACUUAGCUAGCCACUAUUCAUUGGUUUUGUUAUCAUGUUUGGUAUCUAACGUGAUUUUUGUGGGGCUUAAAGAAAAAAAAUCUUGACCCCGCUAGUUCUGCCAUUGCAGUCAUGAAUUAUUAUGCAAGGAACUGUUUUUUUUUUUGCCUCGUUAUUAUACGCAAACAUGCCUUAUAUAACGUAGGGAAAUGAUCGUUUGUCCUUUAUUUAUUUAUUUUUUGCAGCAACCAUGUCUGUGUCCUUAAAGGAACUCUGUCAGGUACAGAUUAGAACUAUGAACUUGAAAAUCAACCAUUCUGAUGACUGGCGUCCCCAUCCGAGUCACCACCUCAGACAACAACAGUCACAAACUCACAAACACAAAUACACUCAGUAAUGGGCUUAAUAAAGUCUGUGUUAACCUAUGAUAUCAGUUAUUGAUGUAUUUUAAAUAUUUACGUAUUACUAGGCUUAUCAUACAUGCAUUGAAGUUUUAAAAUGUAUCUAAUAUAAUACUGUAAUUAAAUUGAAUGUUUUGGAUACCACCAUUAAAUUAUUUUGUGCAUGUAAAACACAAGCAGCAAUGUUUUUAUUGAAUUCAAUUUUGAAUUAAAUUGAAUGUUUUGCAUAACACCAUUAAAUUAUUUUGUGAAUGUUAAACACAAGUAAAUGUUUUAUUUAUUGGAGAUAAAAUGGCUGUUUAAUUAAUAUAAUACUUCUGUUUGUUAGGCACUGUAAUGCUUCUGUGCAGAAGGAAGCCCGUGAGCCACGAAGAUGCAUCCCAGAGUUGAUGUUUGAAUAUGAAUUAGAGUGCUGUCCACCUCACAGAUCAUUCAUAUAAUGAUGCUUCAUAGACUCCUGAGACUAAGGUACUCUACAGUACAUAUCUUCCAGAUGUCAUUUUGGCCCCCUCAAGGGACUUACCAUCUUACUUCCCAAUAUUCCAGUCCAAACCAGCCUUGUUUGAACAUGGUGGCUAUUCACCAACAAUCCAGAAUACACUAUUUAGUGUAUUAUGGCAUGUCGAUGAAUAAAACUGUUUGAAAACUU